rnacentral:lncRNA from 1 species
UUAGCAUAUCUCAUGCAUCACGUUUAUGCCAUAGGUUGCUUGCAUUAGUAUUCACGAAUAUGUUGCAUUGCAUCGUUAUUUGGUGAUGUGAGUGAAUGCUGAAUGAUCCAAUAGUCUCAGACAGGAAGUCCAGGAGCCUUUGACUACGCCCUGGCAGGUAUAGCAAAGUCCAGGAGCCUUUGACUACGCCCUGGCAGGUAUAGCAAAGUCCAGGAGCCUUUGACUACGCCCUGGCAAUGGUAAGUACAGAGGUGUUAUAUACACAUAUACAUAUAUGACAGGAAGACCAGGUGCUCGAUUCUACGCCCUGGCACAGAGUUACU